rfam:Felis catus isolate Cinnamon breed Abyssinian chromosome C2, whole genome shotgun sequence.
GCCUGAGUGGCUCAGUCGGUUAAGCGUCUGACUUCGGCUCAGGUCAUGACCUCCCGGUUCGGGAGUUCGAGCCCCGCAUCGGGCU